rnacentral:rRNA from 1 species
CUACGGGUGGCUCCAGUAGGGAAUCUUCCACAAUGGGCGAAAGCCUGAUGGAGCAACGCCGCGUGAGUGAAGAAGGUUUUCGGAUCGUAAAACUCUGUUGUAAGGGAAGAACAAGUACAGUAGUAACUGGCUGUACCUUGACGGUACCUUAUUAGAAAGCCACGGCUAACUACGUGGCCAGCAGCCGCGGUAAUACGUAGGUGGCAAGCGUUGUCCGGAAUUAUUGGGCGUAAAGCGCGCGCAGGCGGUCCUUUAAGUCUGAUGUGAAAGCCCACGGCUCAACCGUGGAGGGUCAUUGGAAACUGGGGGACUUGAGUGCAGAAGAGGAAAGUGGAAUUCCAAGUGUAGCGGUGAAAUGCGUAGAGAUUUGGAGGAACACCAGUGGCGAAGGCGACUUUCUGGUCUGUAACUGACGCUGAGGCGCGAAAGCGUGGGGAGCAAACAGGAUUAGAUACCCGAGUAGUC